GCUGGGCGUGGUGACUCACGCCUGUAAUCCCAGCACUUUGGGAGGCCGAGGCGGGAGGAUCACCAGCGGUCGGGAGUUCAAGACCAGCCUGACCAACAUGGAGAAACCCCGUCUCUA
rnacentral:SRP_RNA from 1 species